rnacentral:rRNA from 3 species
AAACUUUCAACAAUGGAUCUCUUGGUUCCGGCAUCGAUGAAGAACGCAGCGAAAUGCGAUAACUAAUGUGAAUUGCAGAAUUCCGUGAAUCAUCGAGUCUUUGAACGCACAUUGCGCCCCCUGGUAUUCCGGGGGGCAUGCCUGUCCGAGCGUCAUUG